UUUUUACUUUUUUUGCAGUACCUUUUGCAGCACAAAAACGGCUGUUAAAAAGCAGGGACAAGACGGAAGUGUGAAAGAAGCCUUAGUUAGCUGGCACAGAUCAAGAGCUGCAAGACCAGAUACAACCUGUAGAUAUGACUGACACACAGCCCGGAUACGUGUAGCGUCCAGGUGGAGAGCCUCAGUCCUUUCCGUGUCCAUGGUGAUUCAGAGGGUCAACAACAUUAUGGUCUCAGAGAAGAUAAAUGCCCUUUAACAUGACACAAUGGAGAGGUUUCCUAAAAUCUGGCAGC